rnacentral:rRNA from 1 species
AAAUUGAAGAGUUUGAUCAUGGCUCAGAUUGAACGCUGGCGGCAGGCCUAACACAUGCAAGUCGAACGGUAACAGGAAGCAGCUUGCUGCUUUGCUGACGAGUGGCGGACGGGUGAGUAAUGUCUGGGAAACUGCCUGAUGGAGGGGGAUAACUACUGGAAACGGUGGCUAAUACCGCAUAACGUCGCAAGACCAAAGAGGGGGACCUUCGGGCCUCUUGCCAUCAGAUGUGCCCAGAUGGGAUUAGCUUGUUGGUGAGGUAACGGCUCACCAAGGCGACGAUCCCUAGCUGGUCUGAGAGGAUGACCAGCCACACUGGAACUGAGACACGGUCCAGACUCCUACGGGAGGCAGCAGUGGGGA